GCCAAGGCUGGCGCCCCCUGAUUAACAGCAGCCUCACUGAUGCAUCUACACAACCUACCCAUUUUACAAACGAGAAAACAGAGGUGGCGGUCACCUGAGCAGGUGCUGGAGCCAGAAUUUGAAAGUGAGAAUCUGUCGAGACCUGUUCUGGCAAUGCCCCUGUCCUCUGGGUUAUACAGUGUCUGCCUGAAAUGCCGUCUGUUUUAGAAACUGCAACCCUUCUCAGCAUUACUACCCAAGUGGUCUCACUGCGCCCUUUCCAAGGAGCCGUUCCUGGGUGACCAGAUCGGGGCCCAGAGACACUCAAUUGAAUUCCUCGACACAGCAUCCCUGAGAGCUGCUUGUCACGGGGCUGUGGAUGGGAGAAAGAGUGAUCUUGUUAAUAAGUUCUCAGCAUUGUGGAGGCAGAGAAACUGCCUGGGGGCUCCCGACCCUGCCAAAUUGCCUCUUCAAUCUUGGCCAUAUUUUAAGUCUAGCUCAAAAAUUCAAUUAUCAAAAUAACUCAUCCUGUCUCCAGAGAAGCCCGGACUUUGCCUCAGGGGCCGGACGUGUUUACCUCUUGCUCCUUCCCUGCUCAUUCUGUCGGGCGCCAGGUGGGGUGGGCAAGGGCGAGCCCAGAGGCCCGGGGCCUUGCUGUGGCCCUCAGGGCUCCUGAUAGAACCCGCUUCCGGUCCCUCAGUGGCAAGAUGAUGACGUGGAAGAAUAAAUGUUUAUAAUGGUGAACUGGGAGGCCCCCACCUUGGCCAGUCACUGGGGUUUGCUUGUUCAUUCAUCUCGGGGAAGGUUCUGCCUCUGGCCAGCAGUGUGUGCCAGAGUCAUCCCUGACAUUGCCUUCUCCCUCUCCCCGUGUCCCAGACACAACCACAGCCCCUGUGUUGCCCAAGGCCAUUUUUCUCUCAUCUCUGGAUGGACCAGAUGGUCCACUUUGGGCCAUUGUCUCUCGUCUUGCUGCAAUGGCUUCCUGACUGGCCUCCUGGCAUUCACCCCUUCCGUCUGCAAAUGUCCCCCAACCACAACUAGAACGUUCUUCAAAGUAUCAAGCUUAUCCUGGGAUCUCCUUGGUUUAAGAUGCUGAGUGCUCACUGCCCUUAGCAUCACCCCUGGGUGCCUGGUGCCGAGGCCUGCCCUUCCCUCCUUCCCCUCCUGCGGCCUGCCCGCUCAGUUCCCAGGCUCCAGCUUCCCAGGGCUUUCUGCCCUCCAGCCACGGGGCCUUUGCACAUGCUGCCCCGGCCUAGCACACUUCCAUCCCCUUCCCUGGCUUCUCUUGUUUCUCUUGCGAGCUGCCUCGGAGCCUAGUCAGAACAUUGUUUCCCAUUAGGAGCCACUGUCACAGUUGAUCCCCUGUCACUGGCACUUGGCCACUGGUGUGACUGUGCAUUGUGUGAGUGUGGUUUUUUUGGUUAUGCCUCCCCCACUACCACCUCCAUCCACCACACUCCCCCUACCCCCGUCACGAGCUGGGAGGUUGUCGUGAAGGUGCAGACCCCAUGUCAUGUGCUCACCUCUCUGGCCCCAGUGCCCGCCACAGGCCCGAAAAUAUAUUCACUCAACAGACAACCUCAAAGCUUCUCCCAACUCCUUCUGGAAGGACUCAUUCUGGUGGGGAGAUCAGACUAGUGGUUACGCCCAUAGGGAAGGCUUAUUCAGGGGGUCCUGCGAGCCAGGCAGUGGUUGUCAUGGUACCAUAGGCAGGCAUGGGAAACCCUAUGGGGGAGACGCUGCUUUUCUUAGAUAAGGGACUGACUGGGUCACAGAGUGACCUGCCCAGGAUCACACAGCCUGGCUGUGGAGCUGGAUUCAGGCAGCGACCAGCAGGCUGUAGAGACCAGCUGCCACCAUGUGCUGAGUGCGAGCCCUAUUCAGUGCAGGAAGCGCAAUGUGGCUUGGGGGGUGGGGGGUGACAUUGGCGGGGUGUCCAGAAGAUCCCUGCCUCCAGCUCCCAAGCCGGGCCCUGUCCCUGGCUUGGCCUCAGUCUCCCUCCUGAAAAAGAGACAAGGAGCUGGAGCUGCCCCUAUCUCGCCCCGGGCCUCCCUCCCCAUUUCCCAAGGUCCUUUCAGCUCUUUCAGUUUGACCCCAUCCUUGGGGAAGCCAUUGCCCCCCGCCUGGCCCCAGAGGGCAGCCCCAGGCCGGAGCCCAGCCGCACUCCUGCGUCAUGACCAUGUUAACAAAGCCCCACAGCGCUGACUGCCACCUUCCCAGACGCUCCUCUCUCAAAUGCCAAAAUCAUGUCGUUGUUAACAGGUGUUGGCGUGAGAGCUUAAUUACCAGUUUUCAGUUUUUAAAACAUCCUCUAUUUGUAUUAAUGCUACUUUCUUCUUGCAAACAGAAAGACGUGGGGCCCUGGCUCACAUGUGGUGCUGGAGGCUGGCCCGGCAGACAACAGCAAAGAAAGAGAAUGGCCGCUUGGUGCUUCCACAGGAUGACUGGGUGGGGGUCACAGACGUGGAGAGCCAGGUCACAAGGCGCCUUAGCUAGGAGCCUGAGUGCGCGUGCGUGCGUGCGUGCGUGCCUGCGUGCGGGGGAGAGGUGGGGAGGGAGAGACUGGGAGGGCUGGAGGCUCAGCAUAGGACAGGUUUCAGAGAUAUUCUUCUUAUCAAAUUCAGCAUCUUCACCAGCACCUUUGCCCAGAGCUGCCAGACCUGCAGCAGUCCUGUGAAUUAAGCUUCAUCUCCUUGUAUUUUGCACUUGAAGAAACCGUUCUGAGAGGAGAGGAGAACAGCCGGAGGUCACACAGCAGGUGUACAACAAUCAUCACAACCAAACUACAGCAUGUCCAUCCCAAACCUUCAGUACAUC